rnacentral:rRNA from 1 species
ACGCUGGCGGCGCGUCUUAAGCAUGCAAGUCGAACGGCAAGAGAGAAGCUUGCUUCUCUCCUAGAGUGGCGGACUGGUGAGGAACACGUGGGUAAUCUACCCUUAAGAUGGGGAUAGCUGCUAGAAAUAGCAGGUAAUACCGAAUAGUCUCAAUGGUUCAUAAGAAGUAUUGAGGAAAGGAAGCUAUGGCUUCGCUUGAGGAUGAGCUUGCGUCCCAUUAGCUAGUUGGUGAGGUAAAGGCCCACCAAGGCGACGAUGGGUAUCCGGCCUGAGAGGGUGAUCGGACACAUUGGGACUGAGAUACGGCCCAAACUCCUACGGGAGGCAGCAGCUAAGAAUAUUCCGCAAUGGACGGAAGUCUGACGGAGCGACGCCGCGUGGAUGAAGAAGGCUGAAAAGUUGUAAAAUCCUUUUGUUGAUGAAGAAUAAGGGUGAGAGGGAAUGCUCAUCUGAUGACGGUAAUCGACGAAUAAGCCCCGGCUAAUUACGUGCCAGCAGCCGCGGUAACACGUAAGGGGCGAGCGUUGUUCGGAAUUAUUGGGCGUAAAGGGCAUGUAGGCGGUUAUGUAAGCCUGGUGUGAAAUCCUGGGGCUUAACCCUAGAAUAGCAUUGGGUACUGUAUAACUUGAAUUACGGAAGGGAAACUGGAAUCCCAAGUGUAGGGGUGGAAUCUGUAGAUAUUUGGAAGAACACCGGUGGCGAAGGCGGGUUUCUGGCCGAUAAUUGACGCUGAGAUGCGAAAGUGUGGGGAUCGAACAGGAUUAGAAUACCCCUGGUAGUCCACACUGUAAACGAUGUACACUAGGUGUUGGGGCAAGAGCUUCAGUGCCAAAGCAAACGCGAUAAGUGUACCGCCUGGGGAGUAUGCCCGCAAGGGUGAAACUCAAAGGAAUUGACGGGGGC